rnacentral:misc_RNA from 1 species
GAUGAAGAACGCAGCGAAAUGCGAUAAGUAAUGUGAAUUGCAAUUCAGUGAAUCAUCGAAUCUUUGAACGCACAUUGCGCCCAUUAGUAUUCUAGUGGGCAUGCCUGUUCGAGCGUCAUUUCAACCCUUAAGCCUAGCUUAGUAUUGGGAAUCGACUUUACUGUCGUUCCUCAAAUUCAACGGCGGAUUUAUAGCAAUCUCUGAACGUAGUAAUUUUUUUCCUCGUUUUUGAAAUACUAUAAACCUCAGCCGCUAAACCCCCAAUUUUUUUAUGGUUGACCUCGGAUCAGGUAGGAAUACCCGCUGAACUUAAGCAUAUCAAUAAGCGGAGGA